AGCAUCUUGCCUUGCUGAGGCAACUUCUGCUACCUGGCAAGGUAGAAUGGAUGUGGGUAGGGAGUGAACCAAGCCAUAGAGGAGGUGGAAGAAAGUCAUGUAAGGUUGCAAGCAAAGACUGAACAUCAGAAUGAGAGCUGGGGAGGGUUCCUGAAUUAAAUACAUGAUGCCCUUCCAAGAGUGUUUCCUGAUUAAAAGCUACUUCCAUGCAGCUAGAAAUGUGGCCUGGAGGGUAUCUCCAUCCACACCAGUGGAGUGGCUCAACCACAUAAGGAGGAGAAGGGAGAGGAUGUGGGAUGACAUGUUCCAAGAGAUCCUGGAAGCCUGUGGUGCUUCGGGUACUGAGCACGGGACUUGGAGGAUCCCCCUCGCAGACAGAAUGGACAGAGAUGGUGUGGAGAGGAGAAAGGCUCAGGAAAAGGAGAGGAGCAGGAGAUGCUGGAGCUUCUCAAGCAACAAACAGACAUGCUGGAGACUCUUGUUGACCUUCAGGUUCAGCAGACCUGUGCUUGCCUCCCGUUGCAGGCCAUAGAGAACGGCAUUCCAGAACCUCCCUACACUCCCACUCCCACCCUACAUUCUACGUGGCACCCGGGGCCAUUGCACUACCCCUACCACUUCCCCCGGGGGGAGAAUACAGACAGCCACAGCCACACAUACAUUGACCUAUGGGAAACAUGGUUGCUGUAUGUGUCUGUGAAAUGGAAAUGACUGUUCUUUCCCCAUCAAAGGUUCUUCCCCUGUAUUUAUAAAGUUUCAUUCAGUUAUAAAUGUGUCUCUUUUUUUUUCAUGGGUUCGGAAUAAAAAACUCUAUUUAGGGAAACUUAAGUCAUCUUUAUUAGUUCACAGCAUAUGCUGCCGGGGCUGACAUAAUUCAUAUUCAUGCAAUAGGUGCAUUUGCAAUGUUGUAUUACU